GACGAACCGUGCGAACGUUGUUCGGAUUCACUGGGCUUAAAGGGCGCGUAGGCGGUCGACCAAGUCUGGGGUGAAAUCUUUCGGCUUAACCGGAAAAGUGCCCCCGAUACUGGCCGGCUAGAGGGAGAUAGGGGCAUGCGGAACUUCCGGUGGAGCGGUGAAAUGCGUAGAUAUCGGAAGGAACGCCGGUGGCGAAAGCGGCGUGCUGGAUCUCUUCUGACGCUGAGGCGCGAAAGCCAGGGGAGCAAACGGG
rnacentral:rRNA from 1 species